GAUUCUCAAUUAUAUGAGUUUUACAUUUUAUUGAAAAAUUUCCUUAGGUGAAUUAUUUUUUGUAUUUUUUUUUACUAAUUAUUCUUUAAGUCUUUCAAAUAAUAUGUGAUUAGAGCUACUUUUUAAUCUUGUAAUUAGGCAUUUCGUAUGAUUUUUUUUUACUCGUUUUGCACGAAAUAUUAUUUUAUUAACUAUUUUAACCUAAACCGGAACCAUAAAUUAUUAUUAGAACAACGCUAUUUUUGUUAAGCUGGUAUCAUUUUUUUUUAAGUUUGACAUUUCUAGUCGUGGUUUUGGUCUCUGGGAUUAAAAAAUUGACUAUAGGCAUUACACUUGCACUUAAAUAAAAUAAAGCCAAUACUAAGUAGGUGUUUCUCAGAAAGUUUUUCUCUAGUAUGCAGUUCAGAAUUCCGAAAUCAAGACAUAUAAUUUUGACUUAAUUUUGAUUAAUUUGUUGGAUAGAACCAAGAAUAUUUACUUAAUACUUAAUAUUUACUCUACUAAUUUAGUAUAUACCAUACUUAAUUAGUAGAGUAAAUAUUAAGCAAAACCGGAAACCAGUUGGUAAUAAAGAUUCAUAUAUAUUUCAGUAAAAAUAUAUGUUACUAUGAAUUAAGGUAGAUUAGACUAUGUAUAUUCAGAGGGAAUGGGCGGAAUCAAUAAAAAUGCUGUCAGCGAGGCUCUCAGAAUUAUUUUAAAAUUACCUAUACAUAGAUUCUUGUAUUUCUUAUUAAUUAUUAUUAAUGAAAGUCCAUCGUGAUAUCUCUAAUGUAUUUUAAGUAGUCUCUUCGGUAAAAAUUCGAUAUUUUAGAAUGCAGCGUUACACAAUUUUUUAAUAUAAAAAUACUAAAACAUUUUAUAAUGUGAAAUAUAAUGAUAUAGCCCUCUAAGGGUUGAAAAUUCAACAAUAUAUACUAAUUUUUUGCUAUUAUCAAAUCACACACGCAACUAAGUCAUGCCAAACGUAUAAAAUUCGCAUACCAAGCACCUUUGACGAAAAGGCUAGCCUGUCGACUGAAGCGGAGCGGACAUGUUCUCAGUCAACCAAUCAAAUUUUGAGAGAUGACGUGAUAAUUUUUAUCGUUUUUAACCCCCGACCCAAAAAGUGGGGUGUUAUAAGUUUGACGUGUGUAUCUGUGUAUCUGUCUGUGGCACCGUAGCUCCUA